UCGGUAGGUACAAACCUGUCCUGCAGAACCACAAGCACCCACAGCACCGUCAGACGACGCUUCCUGCACUGGUCACGUGACUCGGUCCCGCUGACAUCACAGGCUGCUUAGAGCCUGAUCGUCUCCCGCUUUAUAACAGAUUUCAACACACACCUGACGGACAGCUGUGAAGCCUGCGAUCACGCCGUGGUGCCCUCCUAUGAAGGCCCGCCACUGUGAAACGCAAACAGUAAACAGGAUGGAGCGUCCUGUGUGUGUGAGGGGUCUUUGGGUGAUUGAGGCUCUGUGAGCAGGGGAGGGGUCGGCCGCUAAGGAGAGAAUGAGCCCAUGCUGCCCAGCUGUCACUGCUAUAACUUCAGACUGGAGAGACCACAGGAGGCAAGCUGCUGUGUGUGUGUGUGUGUGUGUGUGUGUGUGUGUGUGUGUGUGUGUGUGUGUGUGUGUGUGUGUGUAUUGCACCCCCCUCAUGCAUUCAGCCCCCUGGCUUCCUUCCUCCCCUUUGUUAAGUUUGCGGGGCAGACUUGGUCAAGCUGAGCACACAAACAAAUGCAUAUGAAUGUGUGCUGUCAUCUUUAUUGGGCCCCUUUGCCAACACCCAUUACAUUUAACACGGGUACUUACUGGAGGAAAUUCUGCUUUAAUUUAAGCCUCCGUCUCCCAGACGAGGAGGAUUAAUGUGACUUAGUGCGGGGUAAAUCUGAAUACACAACCUGUGGCAUGCUAAUAUGACAACAUAACACUGAUUAACGCACAGUGGCUCGUUUGAAAUGCCCCCUUUUACCACCACAUCCAUUUAUGUUUGGUCCUGGCUGUUAUUUGAUCUGUGAUUUUUUAAGAGUAAUGUGGAUUGUUGGGGUUUAAAUAUCAAAGGUGAAACAAUCCUGCCAAAAUACACCGUGCUGCCGCUUCCCCCAAACAUCUUCCUGUCUGAGCCUGUACCGGUUCUCUCUUUUUUUUUUUACUCCAGCAAGCAUGAGGUCAGCGCGACGCUGGCAAAGAUGAGUGAUCGGGGCAAAGCCAGAAAUAGGCCUCGGUCGUGUAUGUAUGUAUGAGUAAUGCUCCGUGUUUUCAACCACAUUCUCACAUUUCUCCCCCUCAGAAGAUGAAAACCUGUCGUAGCGUGUUCUCCCCUUUGUUUCUGAACGCUGCGCUGCACACAAAACAUCCCACACAGACAACAGCCACCCGCCUCACAUUCCAGUGGAGAGAGGUGGUGUUUCCAGAGGUGGCAUGUGGAGCUUUUAAACCGGGAUGACUGAGGACAUGGAGAAAAAACAACAAUGCGCAGGCUUUUCAGCAAAGACCAGACAACAGAACACACAAUGCCUUGGAGCCGACUAAAGGAGCUUUCAGAACGUCAGUUGUUUUUGUGUGGUGGAUGAAAGGAUGUUGGUAUUUGGAGCUGUUUCCUGAUGUUAUUACUGGAGCACUUUUGUUGAUAAAUACCUUUAAAUAUG